GCCCACGUAGCCUAAUUUAAGGCAUGACCUUGAAGCAGUUAAGAUGGGCCUUAAAAAGCUCCGUGGGCA
rnacentral:tRNA from 1 species